GCAACAAAAUACGAGCAAAAGCGAAUCUCUUACUGAGAUUUUACAAAAACGAAAAGCGAUUUUGAAAAAUUGUUAAAAGUUGUCUGAUGAUGAUUGUUUUCAUCUAGAGGGGCACGUGGAUCUACAAAUUACAACUGAAACUAACUUUUCACCUUGAAAAUUACACAGGAAAUGAACGCGUAAAAAAAGAAGUAAGAGAUUUCAAAAGUAACGUAAGAGAUUUGGGUCUAAUGAAGAGGUCAUCAUUGAAAGAAACGCAUAUUUUGAGGACCUCUCCUUUGUUAUUGGGAAUUUUCAAUUACAUAUAAACAUUAUUUUACAGUCCAUAUAUUGUCUUUUAUAGUAUAAAGAAAUACCUAUUUAUUAGGAAACUACAUUUUAAAUUUUUUGGACAAAAUAUAUCAUAUUGUUGCGUGUUUAUCUAAUCAAUAUCAAUAGAGACCAGUUAUAAACUUCAUAUAAACAUUUAGUAGUAUAAGUAUUUAGAAAUUUUUCAUAAAUAAAAAUUCCUCAAAUUAAUUACUAAUACAUAAGUGGAAAUAAGCAAAUCAUAUACUCAAAGGAGAGAAAUAGUAAAAAACAGCGUUAAAAAAAAUACUGAGACACAGAUCACAUACACUGAUGGCAAAAAUUACACUGCGAGCGAAACAAGCAAUCAAAGUAGUAAGAAGCUAAGACACGUGAAGCAAGUAGUUAAAAGAGAGAUGUGGGCUUAUUUCUCACUUUUUGUAACAUCUAGACAAAAUUCAUGUACCUAACUAAAAUUCAUGUUUUGUAAACAAAAUCGUCAGAUAUUCAAUUAGAUUGGAACUUAUGUAAAAAUCAUUUCAUGUUAUUGUUGAAAUAUUGACUUAUUGUCUCAUGUAUGAAAGUUUUAGUAUUAAUACCGUAACACAAAAAAAUAUAAUUUCUAAAUUGCUUUCAAGUAGCACACGUUUGUAAAAACUCAAACUAACAAAUUUCGUACGAUAUUGAAUUGACGUUCCAAAGGCGUUUUGAGAUUACACAAAAUGUAUAUAAAUCUCCGAUAUGUAUGUCGAAACCCCCACUGCGAUAUAAUUAUACCAUUUGUGCCGGAAUAAUAAAUCAUGACACCAGGCAAUUUGACCACUUGUAAAGAUAAAUUCAAUUUUAGUACGUUAUCGAUAGACACGCGCAUUGUACAAAUGUUUCACUAGCAUAUUUCAAAUAAAAUAUAUAUAUACAAUAAUUAUUAAUUUACUUCAACAAGCUUAAAUCAGCCGGGAAUUUAAUUUAAUGUCCACGAUCCAACAUAUCGCUAAUUGUCAGAAAGGUGAAAUGUUACUGAUAUUGAGUUAGAAUUUGGAAUUUAAAGAAAUACUCAGCAAAGGAUUAUUCUGGAAAAAAAUUACUUUCAGUUUGUAGGCAUAUUUAAAUUAAUUAUGAUUUCCCGAUUAAGAUUUGGAGCUGGUGGUUCAGUGAGAAAUGAGAUUACCACAUUAAGUUAUCAUCAUUCAACUUAUUUAUAAACGUAUUGCACCUUGUCUUUUGCGACUCUGUUCUUUCUUUAUUUAUCACUGCAGUUGUUUGUUCAUGGUGUGUAGGUAUUUACAUGUUCGGUUUAACCUGAUCUCAACCGCAACUUUAAUUUGCAUCAUGACAAACGUACUAUUUGAUUGUAAGCACCGUUCUACAAUUUAAUUUCACUUCACGUUUUUUCAAGAGCUGUUAUUGCAAUACUCCAGGUCGUAUAAUCUUUACAACCAAAUGCGAUGCAUUAAGAUGGAUUUUAUAAAAUAUGAAGAAAACCAGUUUAACUUAAAUAAUUGUCUAUCGAUUUUUACUUAGUAUUUCAAGAGUGUGUUUAGAGGCAUUUCUUUAAAACCAAGCUGAAAACUUGAGGACUAAUCUUGAAACGCCGUUUGCUAAUUGCGACUUAUUCUUUAUUAACCCAUCGGCCUUGUUUAUGUUCCAUCUAUAUAUUCACUAUCUAAGCUUUAUGUAUGAAAAUCCCCAAGUAGAUUACUAAGUUUAGGUUAUCGAUUACUAUUCUAAAUAAAUUUAUCACUUAAACAAAAACAUUCGUCUCUUGAAUAAACCGAACACCGUUUUCAAGAGCAAGAAUCCAAGUCAAGCUUAGAAAAUAAUAGGAUAACGACUUUAUAAAUAAGCGUUCUAGAUGUGAAUAUAUUGACGGCCAACUACGCGGAGGUUCAAGGCAACGAAAUCUUAUUAGACCUCUUCUCAAUUUUUUACCACAACACUUAUCGGAACUUUUGUUGAGAAAUUAAUAAGGUAACUAAAGAAAUACCUGAUGGUAUUUAGCAGACAUCCGCAAGAGGUUUUAUUCAAUUGCUUUGCAUUAACUUGAUUUAAGGUUUGGCAUUAGUACUGUUAAACACAUUGUUGUCUCAAUGAAUCUCAAAUGACCAUUUGAACGAAAAACAAAAUUCAGCCAAGGCCAAAGUUGCAAAGUGAGAUGCCGCAAACUUCUUCUAGAAGAUUGAAUAUUGAUGAAAUUCUGCAGUAUUUGAUGUGGAAUAAGAUUUCUAGAAAACUUGUAGGGAUAAAUAAAAAAACAAAGCUUUGCCAUCUUCAAUAAAAUGCCAUAAUGGUUUUGUUCGAAUUAUUUCUAAAUGAUUGAACUGUAAAAGAACGAUUUUUGUUAAUUAUGCUGAAAUAUUAUAUCGAAUUAAAUCUAUCAUUUAAUUUUUCUAUUUUUUUAUUUUGUUUUUAUUUACUCCAACACCAAACAACCUAUAAGCAUAGAAUGGUC
rnacentral:lncRNA from 1 species